UACGUAGGCAGCGAGCGUUGUUCGGAGUUACUGGGCGUAAAGCGUGCGUAGGCGGUGUUCCAAGUCUGUUGUGAAAUCUCCCGGCUUAACUGGGAGGGUGCGGCGGAAACUGGAACGCUGGAGUAUGGGAGAGGUAAGCGGAAUUCCUGGUGUAGCGGUGAAAUGCGCAGAUAUCAGGAGGAACACCGAUGGCGAAGGCAGGUCUCUGGGCCACUACUGACGCUGAGGCGCGAAAGCCAGGGGAGCAAACGGG
rnacentral:rRNA from 1 species